CCAUGUCAUUGCCAAUGGCACGAUUUUAUCUUUUUUAUGGCUGUAUAGUAUUCUGUUGUAUAUAUAUACACUACAUCUUCUUUAUCCAUUCAUCCAUUGGUGGGCACUUGGGUUGCUUCCAUGUCUUGGCUAUUGUGAAUAAUGUUGCAAUGAACAGAGGGGUGCAUGUACCUUUUUGAAUUAUUGAUUUCAUGUUCUUUGGAUAAAUACCCAGUAGUGGAAUAGCUGGAUCAUAUGGUAUUUCUGUUUUUAAUUUUUUGAGAAAUCUCCAUAGUGUUUUCCAUAGUGGCUGCACCAGUUUGCAUUCCCACCAGUAGUGUAUGAGGGUUCUCUUUUUCUCCACAUCCUCUUCAACACUUGUUAUUUCUUAUCUUGUUAGUUAUAGCCAUCCUUAUGGGUAUGAGGUGAUAUCUCAUAGUUUUGAUUUGAAUUUCUCUAAUAAUUAGUGAUGUUUAACAUCUUUUCAUGUGCCUUUUGGCCUUAGACCACAUCUUGAUAUAUCCUUGAGGACUUGAUGUAACUUGCCUUAAACCAGUUAAAUACGUACAUUUCCUCUGUUCAGAAUAUGGAUGAAAGUAUGUCUGUUGGUUGCCUACAUGUUAUUCCAGUUCUGGAACUAACCGAACAGUUCAGUUAUCAAAACACAGGAGCAGAACUAAGAUCAACUUACAUCUUCACCAGUUGAAUUAUCAUGGCUAGGUGAUACCGUGGAUUCCUGAAGAUUUUCCUGCUUUUGGUAAUAAAUAUUUUUUUAAAUCAUAUGAAAGUCAAUCUUACCUUUUGGCUGCAAAGUGACUGGAUGUAUGCUUAUUACAUACCAGGCUUUUAAUCACUUCUAGUUAGGUACCUAAAUAGAUAGGGACAUCAGACCAUGCUUAACUCUGCUACUGUAAUAGACAAGAGUGCUGAUAAAUACCGAGAGAUAUAGGACCAAAAGCACAAUGCUGUUUGAAUAGUCUCUCCCCCUAGGCUUUUACUGGAACAUUAUUCAUGACUGGUUUACAUUAAUCACUAAAUGAAGUUUUGUUUCUUCCCCCUAACUGUUGGCAGUAUUGUCUCUACUGAUGACAACAUGAAUUGCCAAAGGCCAGAGCUUGUUUAUAUUGUGUGUGCCAUUUCUCUAGUUGAGUACAUAGUCAGUACUGAAUGGUAAAUUAAAGAUUCCCCAAAGACAAGCAUCCUUGGCUCCAUUAUAUUACUAUGAUGAAUCUGCCAUUAAUACGGUUCUAAUUGUUUUACUUUUAUAGACAUAAAAUCAGUCCCCUUAGUGACUAAUAAUAGGGUUUAUUGAUUUUACUAAACAUUAUUCAUUCCAGGCCUGCUCAUAUCAGCUUGUCCUGAACAUAUGCAAAAAGCCUGCAGUGCUGACACAGUGCAAAUUAACUUCAUGGAGAAAUGAGAAUGAAGAGUUGUUUACAGCUGUGGUCCCAUCGAAUGCAGAAUAUUAAAAACAAGUCAUCAGCCCCUCUUACUCUCCUGCCUCCCUCUUCUGAGGAUCCUUGAGGAAAUUGGGUCCACCAAGCUAAUCCAGGAUAAUCUCGUUUCAAGCUUCCCUGCUCCUGCUAUUGAACGUGGCUUGGGACUGCUAUGGAGCUCACUCUGGCCCAUUUUUCACCAUCAUGUAACUGACUCAGCCUUUCAAUUUCCACUCCAAAUUCCUCUGCCUGGUGGAUUUCUGUCUCUGUAAUAACUAAAUGUGGCUGGCCAGACUUGGGAAAGGUGGGACAGAAUCAUAAAGAACCCUAGACUGUUCCUCCUAGAGGUGUGGGUAAGGCAGAUUCUCGAAGGAAGGAGGUAAGUCAAUGGCAUGUCUGCUGUAUCCAGACAUGACAUUCACUCACUCAUUUGACAAAUAUUUACUGAAUGCCUGUUUUAGGUUAUAAACUAUUCUGGAUUCUGGAGAUAGAACAAUAAAGAGAUCAAACCCUGCCCUCAUGGAGUUUAUAUUCUAGUGGGAGGAGAUGACCAUAUGCAAAUACACAAACAAAUAUAUAACAUGUCAGGUACUGGUAAACAAUAUAGAGACAAGCAAAGUGGGGCAAGGAGGGUAGGGAGUACUCAGGAAGAAGGGAAAAUUUCUACUUUCAUAGUGUAAUAAAUAUAUAUAUUUAUUUGGUCUUUGCCAGUUCCUGGCACAGAGCUCCUAAAACCCUUGGAAUUUUCUAAGUGGUAGGAGUGUCUUGUUAUUCAUAAGGAGCCCCUUUUGAGCAUACCUGAAUUUAUGCUAAUGAGGUGACUUUUGGCAGGCCCCAGGAUAGCUUCAGGAUGGGGCCUGGUCACCAGAGGAACCAACCACGUUAUUAGAGGGUUGGAAUUUGCAGAGGGAAGAAGGACUAGAGAUUGAGUUCAAUCACCAGUGGCCAAUGAUUUGAUAAAUCAUACUGUGUAAUGAAAUUUCGAUAAAACUCUUUGAACGCCAGGUCUGGGGAGCUUCUGGGUUGAUGAACACAUGGAUGUGCUGGGAGGGUGGCAUGCUUGGAGAGGGCCCAGAAGCUCUAGACUGUCCCCCUGCUCCUAUACCUUGUCCUAUGCAUCUCUUCCAUAUAGCUGUUCCUGAACUGUAUACUUUAUGAUAAAACUGUAAUCAUAAGUAUAAUACUUUCCUGAGUUCUGUGAGUCAUUCUAGCAAAUUACUGAAUCGGGGGGGGGGGAUUGUGAGAACCCCCAAAUUUGUAGUUGACUGGGCACCAGUGCAGGUAGAUUGGGGGUCCUAUUUGUGCUGCAUCUGAAGAGGGGGCAGUCUUUUGGGACUGAACCCUUAACCUCUUGGGUCUACACUAACUCCAAGUAGUGUCAGAAUUGAAUUGAAUUGUAGGACCCAGUUGGUGUUGGAGAAUUGGAGAAUUGUUGCUGGAAAAUGUUGUAAUUUUAUACAGGAGUUUGAGAGAAGAGACACCUGAUGGAAAUGAAGGAGUAAGUCAUGUAGAUGUCUGGAGAUAGUGUUUUAGGCAGAGGGGAGAGUAAGUGCGAAGGUCCUGAGGUAAGAAUGUAUUUGGAGUAUUUAAGGGAGAGCAAGAAGAACAGUGUGGCUGGAGCACAAGUGAGGAGCAGAGUGGUAGAUGUGUGUGGACACAAUUCUGCAAAGGUAGCCUCCAGGCACACAGCAGGCAAGCUAAGCUAUCCCAUAGUCAGGGGACAGAAAGCUCACAGAUUUAAGACGGACAAAUCACACAGUUGAUUGAAGCAAUUUAAAAUAAAGCAUAGAGUUAGAAGAAAGUGGAAAGAAAUGGAGUGGAUUAACACACUUCAGUUAGGGUACAAGCUAAUGGAAGGGCCCACCACCUGAAUUCUGUGUUACACAAUGUUCAUUUGUCCUGUUUCUCUCUGUGCUGCAUCAGCCUUCCCCCGUGAUGGUGUGCUUACGAGGGCCGGAGGUGACGUGAGGAAGAGGGAAGGUGCCUGGAGUCAGCACUGCUCUGUUGGGGAGCUAGCCUGAUGAGCAGCUAGGGGCUUAUUUGCAUGUCUAGGACAGAGGACAGGUGGGGCUUUGCGUGGGUGUCAUCAACGAGUGGCUGGAGUAUGACCUCAUGGAUGCUGAGUACUUCGUGUCCUCAUGUAUAUUUAGGCUAUAAUGAAUAUUCAGGGAUUUAUGUGUCUCAUGUAUAUUUAGCGUAUCAUGAAUAUUUAGUAUUUACUUGGUUCUUUCAUUCCUUUUCCAUCUAGGUUCACACGUACAUGCUCUACUUGCUUUAUCUGUCUAACAUAUCUCCCAGGUUACAACUAUUUUUGGAAAAAUUGCCCUGGAGAGAAAACUGAAAACUGGAUAAACAGAACCCUCACAACAAGGGACAGUCUUGACUGAGGUGGAAGAGGCAGAAAUUCCUUCUGGAGAGAAAAAAAUGCCACCUUUGUGAGACCCAGAGAUUCACAGCUGGCCAGGCAGGAGCCAUCCUAAGGUAUGCAGCCCUCCCUGGAGAAUUGGGGACCUUAGCAGGGGCACAUUACCAUUAUAAGCAUCCUUCAGACUCAGCACAACUGAAAUGAGUGUCCUACUAUCUGGCUUUGGUGGCUAUUAACUGCAAUGGGGGAUACCCCAAGAAAAGCUGUCAGAGAAAGCCAAAAAAACCUAGCUCUUAAAGGGCCCAUGCACAAAUUCACCCAUCCCAGAGAGCAACCUAAAAUCACCAGAAAGAAGGCUGUACAGUCCUUUGGUGAAAAGAGAUUCACCUGGUAGGCUCUGGGUGCAUCUUGGUGAGAGGUGAGACCUGUCCAGAGACUGAGACAUAGGUGGCAGCCAAUGUUAUGACCUAGUACAGGUGUGCUGACACAGACGUUGGCAGAUGCCACUGAAGCUCUUUCCCUGGUCUGUUAGCCCAGGGGUCUGCAACACCCACUAGAGUGCAGAUUUAAUUCAGUUCAG
rnacentral:lncRNA from 1 species